rnacentral:lncRNA from 1 species
GCAAGUUCUUUUGCCAAUGGCAACCAGCAGAGCUUCCCCUGAAGAUUGGAGGGGAUGAGUCAGGGGCAAGGAAGGAUUAACAGAUUCUGCCUCAAGUCCUGGUGAACCAACUCCUCUCCCCAAGACAGACACAUACUAGUGAAAUAAAUUGGAUUUAAAUCAUCACCUGAGGCAAUCCUGAAAGAGAAAAGCAGUCCUAGAAAAGAGUGGAGGAAAAGAGGACAGCCCCAUUCUCUUUGUGACCACGAAGACUGCCGCCAUGUGGUUGGGAGCCACGUAACUUCUUUUAGUGCCAGCUGAGAUUCUUCUGCCCUGGAACUAGUUCCUCCGAGUUAUUGCCAGGCCUGGAGAUUGAAUUCCUGCAGCUGGAAGGUGGGGAAAGUUGCCAGAGCGAAGGAAGUAAAAGCAUCCACUAUGAGAUUCACCAGAGGGGUUUGACCAGCUUUAGAAGGAGAAUCCUGGACAACAACACAUGCAGCUGUGAAGGCGACAAGUGUGACACUGACAGCCAACUGAAAUGGAAGGAAUGUGAAGAUGCUGUCAUAAACAUUUCUACCGCAUGUGACAGCUUUAACAAUACUUGCAAGGUCGUCAUCGCAAAAUGUUGUGAGCACCUACCAUAUGCCAGGCACUGUUCAGUGAACUGGUUGUACAGGAGUGAAUGAGAUCAUCUUGAUUUUGAGAAGUUUAUAAUCUACUCAAGGGAAACACGUGUAAUCAACUAUGUUUCAGACAUAACCCCUCAAAACCAAAGCAGAACCUCUUCAAGGAGCUGAGAGAUGCAAGCCUGGAGGAGAAAAGCGGGGCAGCAUCAAACCCCUCCCACUGGGGCAACCUGCUGAGCAUCUCCCUGGCCUUGGCCCCUGGCCAUACCACACAAGUGUCCAAUGAGUCACUGAUCCUGAAGAACAAGAGAAGACUGACCACAGACCCCAAAAGGAAGCAGGAGUACAACCUUCGAAGUUGGUGGGCAACAAGAGGUCAGAGGUUGACAAGCAUCCACACAGCUCUAAGACUAGCAUCAUGUGGCUACCCAGGACCUGGGAGAGUGCUGCAGAGCAGGAGCAGGAAAGGGACCGGCUGUUCCCAUAGAACUUCAUGUCACAGGUCUGGGAGCCAGGGGGCCUUGGUUCUAGUCCCAACUCUCCCUCUAAGUUGUCUUAUGGCCACAGCAAUGAACCAAGACAAUGAGAAGUAGCGAGUACAGUUGAGGAGGCCUUGUCUGAGGAGGAGGCAGGUUUUCAUGAAGAUGCAGCAGAUCAUCUGGGAGAAAUUGAGAAUGAGGAAGGACUUGAUAAUAGGGCAUCUUAGUUCUGCUGAACACUCCUGAAUAAAGGGGAGGCCACAAGUCCCCACAUCUGGAUAAGGAGCCCAGUUGGUGGGCAUGGAACGGACCUUGACACAGAAGAGAAUGGAGAUAUGGGAGCCAUGUCCUGGAACCCUGGCUUGGUGUUGAAAUAAAUUAGAAGCUGACUUGCUGUGCAGCUGGUAAAGCUUCCACUUCGGGGCCCUUCAGUUGCAUGGGCCUUUCCCAAGACCCCAGGGAAGGGCUUAGCAAUAUGCUCACAUGGUCUGAUGUUCUUAUAUGCAAACAAUUUUUUUAGAGAUAUCUUAAAUAUGCUUGCUCAACACCUCUGUCCACUUCUGCCUUCCCUCCAUCCUUCUUCUUCUUGCCUUGAGUGUGUUUGGAGAUCAUGGGGGCUUUGAGGCUCCAUCUAAGAGGAAGUUAAAUGGAAGAUCCAGUUAGCUGGGUUUCAUGGGAUAUAUUUGUGAGGUUCACAGUCACUGUUGUGUCGGGUUAAGUUACUGCUAGCUGUCCCAGUAUGGAGUAGAUUCCAGGAAUACUCCUGAGGCCCCCGUGCUGACCUGCCCUACAGUGAUGUGAUUGUACAGGGCCAGGUCAUACCGUGAUCAGGACGUGGCCUGUGUACUGGCACUGUACGGCUGGAUAGUGGAAGAGAAGCUAGGAUAAACAUGUGCAGACCAAAACUGGUCUGUGGAAAAUUCUCCCUAUCAUCAGACACGUACAAAGCUAAGCAGAGGAUUCUGUUUUCAAAACACCUG